rnacentral:rRNA from 1 species
GAUGAACGCUAGCGGCAGGCCUAACACAUGCAAGUCGAGGGGUAUAGUUCUUCGGAACUAGAGACCGGCGCACGGGUGCGUAACGCGUAUGCAAUCUACCUUUUACAGGGGAAUAGCCCAGAGAAAUUUGGAUUAAUGCCCCAUAGUGUUAUAGAAUCGCAUGGUUUUAUAACUAAAGUUCCAACGGUAAAAGAUGAGCAUGCGUCCCAUUAGUUAGUUGGUAAGGUAACGGCUUACCAAGACAAUGAUGGGUAGGGGUCCUGAGAGGGAGAUCCCCCACACUGGUACGUGAGACACGGACCAGACUCCUACGGGAGGGCAGCAGUGAGGAAUAUUGGACGAAUGGGCGG